rnacentral:lncRNA from 1 species
UUGCGUUUUCUGAAUCCUAAUUUUCUCUGAUGUUGUUUGUUUCUUAUGUUUUAAAGGGUGGAUCAUCCUCCUCCGACACCUAUUAUGAUAGUCAGGAUUCACAGGAUUUCUCAGAUGAUAAUCCCAAUGCCUGUGAUGAUAAUGACACUACAUACAGCGCUAAUAGUCGGAGUUCUGGCUGUGUGAAGAGGAAAGUUGUUGUCAGAGAUACUUCACAUGUUUUAAGCAAACGAGACUAUGAUGUCCAGGGUGGAUCAUUCAUUGCAGCUGGUGGUGGAUCAAGUGGUCAGGGUGGUUGCAUUUGUCCUGAUGGAAGCAGCGGUGUUAGACAGGUGAUUCUUUUUCCUUAAUUUAUAUUUAACUCUAGAUAACAGAAUAUUUUGAAUGAAUCACCUUGUAAG